AGGAGCCGCUGUAAUUCCAGCUCCAAUAGCGUAUAUUAAAGUUGUUGCAGUUAAAAAGCUCGUAGUUGAAUUUCGGGAUCAAUGUUUCGGUCAUGCCCUUGGUAUGUACUGAUAUUAUUGGUUUCUCACCUUCUAAAGAACCGUAAUGCCAUUAAUUUGGUGUCACGGGGAAUUAGGACUGUUACCUUGAAAAAAUUAGAGUGUUUAAAGCAGGCUCACGCUUGAAUACAUUAGCAUGGAAUAAUGAAAUAGGACAUCCGAUUCUAUUUUGUUGGUUUCUAGGAUCGAUGUAAUGAUUAAUAGGGAUAGUUGGGGGCAUUAGUAUUCAAUUGUCAGAGGUGAAAUUCUUGGAUUUAUUGAAGACUAACUACUGCGAAAGCAUUUGUCAAGGAUGUUUUCAUUAAUCAAGAACGAAAGUUAGGGGAUCGAAGACGAUCAGAUACCGUCGUAGUCUUAACCAUAAACUAUGCCGACUAGGGAUCGGAUGAUGUUAAUUUUUUAAUGACUCA
rnacentral:rRNA from 1 species